rnacentral:tRNA from 1 species
GGAGAAGUGGUCGAGUGGUUUAAGACACCACCUUGGAAAGGUGGUGGGUCAGGUAACCCGUGGCCCCGAGAGUUCGAAUCUCUCCUUCUCCU